UUAACGUUAACUGCCUCAUGUAACGGUACUGAACGGAGGAUGUACUUUUAAUAUAACGUCUGUGAAUGUAUUUUGUCAUAUUUACAUAAGAUUUUACAUUAUCUGUACUUUUUGAGGCGUUAACAGACGGUUAUGGUCACGGUUACGCUCAUGUGAAUUUGUCUUUUUUUUCGCGGUUAAACUGAAUACUUGUCAAGCUUGUGUCUUCAUUGUCCUCGUGCUGAGAGUUAAAGACACAGAAGCUGUUUGUGUGAGGAGUCACAGACCUGUGUGAGGAUGAGGAGGAGGUGUUCUUCUGAAGAGAGGGACAGACGGUUUAAGGAGAGCAAACUUCAGAAUAACAUCAAGUUAUCUUUAUUUUUACUAAGACUAAAAUAAUGUUGUUGUUUUUUUAGAUGUUGCAAUCCAGAGACAAGAUAACUUCAUUCUUUUGAGACUGAUAACUCAAACUAACUGGAGUUAAGGACACACAAGUCUGCUUGUGUGGGGAGGUGGUUUUCUCAGCUUCUUCUGAAGAGAGGGAAAGAUCGUUUAAG